rnacentral:tRNA from 1 species
UGGUGUGGCCUAAUGGACAAGGCGUCGCCCUCCUAAGGCGAAGAUUGCUGGUUCGAGUCCUGCCAUCA